UACAGAGGUCUCAAGCGUUGUUCGGAUUCAUUGGGCGUAAAGGGUGCGUAGGCGGCGCGGUAAGUCGGGUGUGAAAUCUUGGAGCUUAACUCCGAAACUGCAUUCGAUACUGCCGUGCUUGAGGGCUGGAGAGGAGACUGGAAUUUACGGUGUAGCGGUGAAAUGCGUAGAUAUCAGGAAGAACACCCGUGGCGGAAGGCGGCUCUCUGGGACGGUACUGGACGCUGAGACGGCGAAAGCGUGGGGAGCGAACAGG
rnacentral:rRNA from 1 species